rnacentral:rRNA from 1 species
UCUGGUGAUUAUGGCGAGGGUGAAACACUCGAUUCCAUCCCGAACUCGACAGUGAAACCCCUCAGCGCCGAUGGUACUCCGUCUUAAGGCGUGGGAGAGUAGGUCAUUGCCGGAU